rnacentral:lncRNA from 1 species
UUUUUUUUUUUUUUUUUUUGAGAUGGAGUCUUGCUCCGUCACCCAGGCUGGAGUGCAGAGGCGCAAUCACGACUCACUGCAGCCUACACCUCUCGGGUUCAAGCAAUUCUCCUGCCUCAGCCUCCCCAGUAGCUGGGAUUACAGGUAACCACCACCAUGCCCAGCUAAUUUUUUUUUGGUAUUUUUAGUAGAGAUGGGGUUUGGACAUGUCAGCCAGGCUGGUGUCGAACUCCUGACCUCAGCUGAUCCGCCCACCUUGGCCUCCCAAAGUGGUAGCGUUACAGGCAUGAGCCACCGCGCCUGGCCUGCCCUAGGUAUUUCUUUCUGUUGUUCUAGAUGACUCUAGGGCUCCUGACCUCCUGAGGGGGCCACUGCUUCCCCUCUAAACCUGCUCCCCUGGCAGGCGCUUUAGGGCCUGCCAGGACGAUGGCAAUAAGAGACACCAAAUUGCGAAAACGCACAGCAGUUCCACUCCUGGGUAUACACCCAAGAAAAUGGUACAAGGUACACACACACAACCUAGUAAAAAAUGAAUGUUUAUAGCAGCGUUAUUCACAAUAGGUAAACAGUGGAAACAACCCAAAUGUCCAUGGAUGGAUGGAAGGAUAAAUGAAGUGUGGUCUAUCCAUACAAUGGGAUGUUACCCAGCCAUAAAAAGGCGUGAAGCCUUGAUACAAGCGCAACAUGGACAGAUCUUGAAGCUGUGAUGUUAAGUUAAAGAAGCCAGACCCAAAAGGCCACAUAUUGCAUGAAAUGCCCAGAGCAAGCAAAUCUAUAGAAACAAAAAGCAGGUGAGGCGGCCACCAGAGAAUGGGAGGAGGGGUUAAUUGGGAGCGGCUGCUCACGGAUACAAGUGUCCUUUGGGGUGAUGAAAAUGUUCAAAAAUGGAUUGUGGUGGUGGUUACACAACUCUGUGAAUAUACUAGAAACCAUUGAAUUGUACACUUUUAAAGGGUAAUUUUAACAUAUGUAUAUUACAUCUCAAUAGAAAAAUAAAACAGGCUGGGGGUGGUGGCUCAUGCCUGUAAUCCCAGGACUUUGGGGGUGCCAAGGCUGGAGAAUAUCUUGAGGCCAGGAGUUUGAGAUAAGUCUGGGAAACAGUAAGAUCCUGUCUCUACAAUAAAUAAAUAAUAACCGGGCAUGGUGGUGCAUGCCUAUUGCCCCAGCUACUUGAGAGGCUGAGGUGGAAGGAUCGCUUGAGCUCAGGAAGUCUAGGCUGCAAGGAGCUUGAUUAUGCCGCUGCACUCCAGCCUGAGUGACAAGAGUGAGGCCCUAUCACAAAAAAAAAAAAAAAGAGAAAGAAAGAAAAAAGAAAAAGAAAACAAUACUUCACAUUGUUGCUCACGGAUGCUAAGGGAUUGAAUUUUUUCUAGUGGGCCCACCACCCGGCUGGCCUCGCUGUUCUGG